rnacentral:lncRNA from 1 species
ACUAAUAGAGCAAAAUGAAACACAAUUUUUUGGUUCAUUCUUAUUAAUUUAAGGAGUACAAUAUUUAUUGAAUGCGUCUAUUAUUCGAAAUCGCGAGAAAGAGCUACAUAUUUAGAGAUUUACAUUGCUUGUUUUGCAGCACCAUCCGAUAAAUUUGUUGCAGCACGCAUUUAGUAUAUGAAAACCAUUAUAACCAACAUAUGAGUGUGAAUCUUUCUCUACAUUUUCGGCUGUACCAUGCUCAGUGCUUUCUGCCACCAAAAUACUUGCAAUGGCAAAAACCACUAUCACUAACUUCAAUACCAUCUUCAAAGAACUUUCCAUUAUAUUAUAACUUUUCUAAAGUUUUUAUGAAUAUACAAAUG